AUUGAACGCUGGCGGCAGGCCUAACACAUGCAAGUCGAACGAGUGGCGGACGGGUGAGUAAUGUCUGGGAAACUGCCCGAUGGAGGGGGAUAACUACUGGAAAGGGUAGCUAAUACCGAAUACCAUAGGAUGUGCACAGAUUGGCUGAGCUGGUAGGGGGGGUAACGGCUCACCUAGGCGACGAUCCAUAGGUGGUCUGAGAGGAUGACGAGCAACACGGGAACGGGGACACGGUACAGACUCGUACGGGAGGCAGCGUUGGGGAAUAUUGCACAAGGGGCGGAAGCCUAAUGCACCCAUGCCGCGUGUAUGAAGCAGGCCUUCGGGUUGUAAAGUACUUUCAGCGUGGAGGCGUUACCCGCAGAAUAAGCACCGGCUAACUCCGUGCCAGCAGCCGCGGUAAUUC
rnacentral:rRNA from 1 species